ACAGCAGCAAGGAGAAUGAAAAUAUCAUGAUUUGGGUUACUUGUUUGGAUGGAAAUAGAUCAUUUAUUCAAGCCAAAGCCAAGCAAGUAACCCAUCUAUUGUUGAAGCUGUUAGGGUGCACAUUUUUGUAUUAUUAAAAGAAUUGGAUAAGUAACUAAGAAUCACACUCUUCUUCAAAAAUAAAAGAAAUUCCAAUAGCAUGCAGUGCUACGGUGGGUUCUAUUCUACAUGAACAUUAUUAGAGAUGCCAAUGUUCAAAGAAGAAUAGCUCAUGACAACUGCACUUUUAUACUAGGAGAACCUAAAAAAGAGCAAUAUAUUAUAUAAACUAAAUCAUAGCAACAAAUAUGUGAAUGAGGAAGGACCAAACUUUGCCUGGAUUAACCCUGUAUGCCACUAAGUGCUAAGAUAUAAUUGGAUUUGGAGGGUCUUCACUUCAUCUUCUCAUUCUCAUCAUUUGCGAUUACUGUUAUGCAGUUUAUGCGCAGAUGCGCAUAUGUAGUAGUACAUCAGAGCAUCUC
rnacentral:lncRNA from 1 species